GCUCAUGAUGAACGCUAGCUACAGGCUUAACACAUGCAAGUCGAGGGGCAGCAUGGUCUUAGCUUGCUAAGGCCGAUGGCGACCGGCGCACGGGUGAGUAACACGUAUCCAACCUGCCGUCUACUCUUGGACAGCCUUCUGAAAGGAAGAUUAAUACAAGAUGGCAUCAUGAGUCCGCAUGUUCACAUGAUUAAAAGUAUUCCGGUAGACGAUGGGGAUGCGUUCCAUUAGAUAGUAGGCGGGGUAACGGCCCACCUAGUCUUCGAUGGAUAGGGGUUCUGAGAGGAAGGUCCCCCACAUUGGAACUGAGACACGGUCCAAACUCCUACGGGAGGCAGCAGUGAGGAAUAUUGGUCAAUGGGCGAGAGCCUGAACCAGCCAAGUAGCGUGAAGGAUGACUGCCCUAUGGGUUGUAAACUUCUUUUAUAAAGGAAUAAAGUCGGGUAUGCAUACCCGUUUGCAUGUACUUUAUGAAUAAGGAUCGGCUAACUCCGUGCCAGCAGCCGCGGUAAUACGGAGGAUCCAAGCGUUAUCCGGAUUUAUUGGGUUUAAAGGGAGCGUAGAUGGAUGUUUAAGUCAGUUGUGAAAGUUUGCGGCUCAACCGUAAAAUUGCAGUUGAUACUGGAUAUCUUGAGUGCAGUUGAGGCAGGCGGAAUUCGUGGUGUAGCGGUGAAAUGCUUAGAUAUCACGAAGAACUCCGAUUGCGAAGGCAGCCUGCUAAGCUGCAACUGACAUUGAGGCUCGAAAGUGUGGGUAUCAAACAGGAUUAGAUACCCUGGUAGUCCACACGGUAAACGAUGAAUACUCGCUGUUUGCGAUAUACGGCAAGCGGCCAAGCGAAAGCGUUAAGUAUUCCACCUGGGGAGUACGCCGGCAACGGUGAAACUCAAAGGAAUUGACGGGGGCCCGCACAAGCGGAGGAACAUGUGGUUUAAUUCGAUGAUACGCGAGGAACCUUACCCGGGCUUAAAUUGCAGAUGAAUUACGGUGAAAGCCGUAAGCCGCAAGGCAUCUGUGAAGGUGCUGCAUGGUUGUCGUCAGCUCGUGCCGUGAGGUGUCGGCUUAAGUGCCAUAACGAGCGCAACCCUUGUUGUCAGUUACUAACAGGUUCCGCUGAGGACUCUGACAAGACUGCCAUCGUAAGAUGUGAGGAAGGUGGGGAUGACGUCAAAUCAGCACGGCCCUUACGUCCGGGGCUACACACGUGUUACAAUGGGGGGUACAGAGGGCCGCUACCACGCGAGUGGAUGCCAAUCCCCAAAACCUCUCUCAGUUCGGACUGGAGUCUGCAACCCGACUCCACGAAGCUGGAUUCGCUAGUAAUCGCGCAUCAGCCACGGCGCGGUGAAUACGUUCCCGGGCCUUGUACACACCGCCCGUCAAGCCAUGGGAGCCGGGGGUGCCUGAAGUGCGUAACCGCGAGGAGCGCCCUAGGG
rnacentral:rRNA from 1 species